ACGGGAAUGCCACGCUGAUGCGAUUUCGGUCAAAUCAUGUGGCAUUCGAGUGGCGGACGGGUGAGUAACGCGUGGGUAACCUGCCUUACACAGGGGGAUAACACCUGGAAACAGGUGCUAAUACCGCAUAAGCGCACAGGGCCGCAUGGCCCGGUGUGAAAAACUCCGGUGGUGUAAGAUGGACCCGCGUCUGAUUAGCUUGUUGGCGGGGUAGGGGCCCACCAAGGCGACGAUCAGUAGCCGGCCUGAGAGGGUGGACGGCCACAUUGGGACUGAGACACGGCCCAAACUCCUACGGGAGGCAGCAGUGGGGGAUAUUGGACAAUGGGGGAAACCCUGAUCCAGCGACGCCGCGUGAGUGAAGAAGUAUUUCGGUAUGUAAAGCUCUGUCAGCAGGGAAGAAAGAAAUGACGGUACCUGACCAAGAAGCCCCGGCUAACUACGUGCCAGCAGCCGCGGUAAUACGUAGGGGGCAAGCGUUAUCCGGAAUUACUGGGUGUAAAGGGAGCGUAGACGGUGAUGCAAGUCUGGAGUGAAAGGCGGGGGCCCAACCCCCGGACUGCUCUGGAAACUGUGUAACUUGAGUGCAGGAGAGGUAAGCGGAAUUCCUAGUGUAGCGGUGAAAUGCGUAGAUAUUAGGAGGAACACCAGUGGCGAAGGCGGCUUACUGGACUGUAACUGACGUUGAGGCUCGAAAGCGUGGGGAGCAAACAGGAUUAGAUACCCUGGUAGUCCACGCCGUAAACGAUGAUUACUAGGUGUCGGUGGGUAUGGACCCAUCGGUGCCGCAGCAAACGCAGUAAGUAAUCCACCUGGGGAGUACGUUCGCAAGAAUGAAACUCAAAGGAAUUGACGGGGA
rnacentral:rRNA from 1 species